GACGAAAUACACUGUACAGCGGGAGAAUACGAGAUAUUCAACUGCUUGACUCUGUGAUUUUUCACUCAUCAGUGUCAUUUUCACCGAUUGGACCACCGUCUACUGAUGACGUUGAGACUGUCGCGCCGAACCACUGGAGGGUUUUGUUGUCAAUUUGAACGUCAAGCUGUGGGAAAAUGGGGGCGAUGUGAGUGCAAGCAAAAAACUAUUGUCACACUGUUGGAAAAUUUAUAUUCGCUGUUAAAAUUGUGGGUGCCUGUGGGUGCCUAAUCAGUAUCCCGAUAGGGCGACCCCUCGUCCGUGACGGUCGACGAACGUA